GUAAAAGCCGUGCCUGAGGGCGCGGUAUUACGGAUGGGUGAAGUUUUAAUCGGAGUUACUAGGAUGAAAGCGGGCGCAGGCGGCUUAUUAAGUCAAAUGGGAGAUCCCUAGGGUCAACCUAGGAACUGCAUUUGAAACUAAUAAACUAGAGUAUCGUAGAGGGAGGUAGAAUUCCAGGUGUAGCGGUGAAAUGCGUAGAUAUCUGGAGGAAUACCAGUGGCGAAGGCGACCUCCUGGACGAAAACUGACGCGCGAGCACGAAAGCAUGGGGAGCAAACAGGAUUAGAUACCCUAGUAGUC
rnacentral:rRNA from 1 species